GCUUACGGCCACACCGGCCUGAGUACCUGAUCUCGUCCGAUCUCGGAAGCUAAGCAGGGUCGGGCCUGGUUAGUACUUGGAUGGGAGACCGCCUGGGAAUACCAGGUGCUGUAAGCU
rnacentral:rRNA from 1 species